AUCUCCUGUUUACUAGACAGGCACUUUGACCAGCUAAGCCACAGCGCCACUGUUUUAAUUUUUCCUGAAAACGAUUAAAUUUAAUUCAUUUUCACCAUGUUGGAAAUCUAAAAAUGCUGUUAAACUUUUAAAGAUGGGGUCAAGAAUUAAACAGGAUCUUUUGAGACAGUCAGUCAAGCAUCAAACUACAUUUCCUUUGUUAGUACCCUCGUCCCUAUGAAACUGGAAUCUCGUUUGUAAACAAGGCAUUAUGGACACUAAAUGAAUAUUAUAGAGACGAAGGCCCUGCUGGGAUUUGAACCCAGGGUCUCCUGUUUACUAAACAGGCGCUUUAACCAACUAAGCCACAGAGCCCUUGGAUAUGCCUUUUAUUCCUAAAGAUCUUGAGUUUAGCUGUAUUUCACCAGGUUUUAAUGCACAAAAGUAAAAUGUAAUAUCUCACCAAGUUGGAAUAAUAAAAAAAGGAAGUCAAAACAUAGGUUAAAGGCACUGCUGGGAUUUGAACCCAGGAUCUCCUGUUUACUAGACAGGCACUUUGACCAUCUAAGCCACAGCGCCUCUACUUGAAGCGCUUAAACCAAAAACGAGUUGAACUUCUUUUCAAAAAAGUUUUAAUUAUGAAAAUGAAGUGAAAACACUGGGUUAAAGGCACUGCUGGGAUUUGAACCCAGGAUCUCCUGUUUACUAGACAGGCACUUUGACCAGCUAAGCCACAGCGCCACUGUUUUAAGUUUUUCCUGAAAACGAUUAAAUUUAAUUCAUUUUUACCAUGUUGGGAAUCUAAAAAUGCUGUUAAACUUUUAAAGAUGGGGUCGAGAAUUAAACAGGAUCUUUUGAGACAGUCAGUCAAGCAUCAAACCACAUUGCCUUUGUUAGUAGACUCGUCCCUAUGAAACUGGAAUCUCGUUUGAAACAAGGCAUUAUGAACACUAAAUGAAUAUUAUAGCGACGAAGGCCCUGCUGGGAUUUGAACCCAGGGUCUCCUGUUUACGAAACAGGCGCUUUAACCAACUAAGCCACAGAGCCCUUGGAUAUGCCUUUUAUUCCUAAAGAUCUUGAGUUUAGCUGUAUUUCACCAG
ensembl:lncRNA